GUGGGGAAUAUUGCACAAUGGGGGAAACCCUGAUGCAGCGACGCCGCGUGAGCGAUGAAGUAUUUCGGUAUGUAAAGCUCUAUCAGCAGGGAAGAAAAUGACGGUACCUGACUAAGAAGCCCCGGCUAACUACGUGCCAGCAGCCGCGGUAAUACGUAGGGGGCAAGCGUUAUCCGGAUUUACUGGGUGUAAAGGGAGCGUAGACGGCAUGGCAAGCCAGAUGUGAAAUACCGGGGCUCAACCCCGGGACUGCAUUUGGAACUGUUAAGCUGGAGUGUCGGAGAGGCAGGCGGAAUUCCUAGUGUAGCGGUGAAAUGCGUAGAUAUUAGGAGGAACACCAGUGGCGAAGGCGGCCUGCUGGACGAUGACUGACGUUGAGGCUCGAAAGCGUGGGGAGCAAACAGGA
rnacentral:rRNA from 1 species